AGUCUCUUGAAAUCUUCCGUCCCCAAGAAAUCAAAUCGAUAAUCGGCAAUGCUACGCCAUUGACAGAGAGGAUCGUACGGCCCCAUGGUGAGUUUGACGGCCGUCUCAAGAACGAGGGAAAAAGGACAAGUCGAAAGAAGAGCUCGAGGAAAGAGCUGAUCCAUCAUCUCUCUCUCGGUGCCCAACCCGGGCCUUAAGCUUAAGGACCCGGAUCCGAGAAUUUCUCGAUAAUUUAUCCAAGAUAAGAGCUCCACCAACGACUAUCCAGUGAGGGAACGCGGCGGGGCCAUCGGGGCCCCGAUAACAAGCCGCUAGCGUUAUCUAGCGUAUUCGUCCAUUUCGAGGGAGACGAAAUGAUGCGACACACACCGCGUUUUUUUAUAAUAUAAAUACGACGAUCUAAAGCAUACUUUAGAGUAGACGAUCUAUAAUUUGAAUAAAAAAUCGGAAUAGGAUUCCAUUUAUAA